UGAUCCCAUGGCUCAGAUUGAACGCUGGCGGCAGGCCUAACACAUGCAAGUCGAGCGGCAGCACGGGUACUUGUACCUGGUGGCGAGCGGCGGACGGGUGAGUAAUGCCUAGGAAUCUGCCUGGUAGUGGGGGAUAACGCUCGGAAACGGACGCUAAUACCGCAUACGUCCUACGGGAGAAAGCAGGGGACCUUCGGGCCUUGCGCUAUCAGAUGAGCCUAGGUCGGAUUAGCUAGUUGGUGAGGUAAUGGCUCACCAAGGCGACGAUCCGUAACUGGUCUGAGAGGAUGAUCAGUCACACUGGAACUGAGACACGGUCCAGACUCCUACGGGAGGCAGCAGUGGGGAAUAUUGGACAAUGGGCGAAAGCCUGAUCCAGCCAUGCCGCGUGUGUGAAGAAGGUCUUCGGAUUGUAAAGCACUUUAAGUUGGGAGGAAGGGCAUUUACCUAAUACGUAAGUGUUUUGACGUUACCGACAGAAUAAGCACCG
rnacentral:rRNA from 1 species